GAUGAACGCUGGCGGCGUGCUUAACACAUGCAAGUCGAACGAAGCAUUUACUUACGAUCCCUUCGGGGUGACGAGUAUCUGACUUAGUGGCGGACGGGUGAGUAACGCGUGGGUAACCUGCCUUGUACUGGGGGACAAUAGUUGGAAACGACUGCUAAUACCGCAUAAGCGCACAGUAUCGCAUGAUACAGUGUGAAAAACUCAGGUGGUACAAGAUGGACCCGCGUCUGAUUAGCUAGUUGGUGGGGUAACGGCCUACCAAGGCGACGAUCAGUAGCCGACUUGAGAGAGUGAUCGGCCACAUUGGGACUGAGACACGGCCCAAACUCCUACGGGAGGCAGCAGUGGGGAAUAUUGCACAAUGGGGGGAACCCUGAUGCAGCGACGCCGCGUGAAGGAUGAAGUAUUUCGGUAUGUAAAGCUCUAUCAGCAGGGAAGAAAAUGACGGUACCUGACUAAGAAGCCCCGGCUAACUACGUGCCAG
rnacentral:rRNA from 1 species